ACAGUUUGUGUUUUGUUUUGU
rnacentral:miRNA from 1 species